rnacentral:lncRNA from 1 species
CACAUCAGUUCUUCAACUUGUAUGUUCUUCUAGCCUCUUAGAAUCCAAGAACGUCUCCAAGUUGCCAAUGGAAGCAUUCAGGUAACAAUUUGCAUCUUCCAUCCUGUACAUAAAUCUGGUCAGUAUAUGCAGUAUCAUCCCAUACACCCGUUGUUCCAUAAAUUAUAGCAUGCCCAAAUCAUUUUGUUGGGUUUUGGUUUGCCUUCUUACCAGAUUAUUUAAAGUUUUAAUCAAUGUUUGUUUCAAUCUAUCAUGCAGCUUUGCCUCGGAGUUGUAAUUCUCUGAAUUCGCACAACCACACACAGUUCUCAUAUCAUUGAUUGAGUCGCACCCUCCUCCUGUAUACAUGACUGGCCAGCACACGACUUGUAGUGUGUCUUUUCCUAAGUGGC